GAGUAGAUCCGUUACCAUGACAACUGCUUGCCAGAGGAUAGGGACGGAUGGACCUACCAAAUGCUAUACUCGACAGUGAGCCUGCAAUUUCUUGUAGCCACUUUGUAAAAACAUCUUCAGCAGCUAGAGCCGGGGCAGCUAAAGGCUGGGUGAGGCUGCUUUCAAGUGACAUGAGUGUAUCCUCAGCAUCCUUGACAGAUGUUACCUGGCUCGGGUGAAAGACUGCCAGACAGGGUGCUUACUCCCAAACUUGGUGACUGAGGACAAAAGGGAAGUCUCACGAUACAGAAGGGUAUGUGGAGCUCCCUGGCCAGCCAGAGUACCCAAGACUCCAGAUUCAGAGGAAGACUGCCUCAAAAAAUAAGACGGAAAGCAACAGAGGAGGACACUUGGCAUUAACCUCUGGCCUCCACAUACACAUAUAUACACAGGUCCUGUGUUUCCAAAGCCCAUGGGUCCGACCCAUUGCUAGUCAGUGAAGCUGUUCUCUAUGGGGGCAGUGCAGAACCCACUCUGCAAACAGCAAAGCACAUCAUCCCAGGACACUCCCUUCUCACGAGACUUCUGGCGCGCUCUCAUGCCAUGAGUGAACACUGGCCAUACGGCUUACCAUCAUCACACGACCGAUUUCUGCCAUGCACAGUGUUUCCAUGAUCUACAACUGACCAAUCUAAGACUCGGGCAGCUGGGAGAGGAGGUGCGGUGAGCCGCUCCAAAGUCGCACUUGCUUUCUUGCACCGUGUCUGAGCAACGACUACAGAGGCCCGGGAAUCCAAUGCCACUCCUUUCUGUCUUAAAACCGAUGCCAAGUCUGAGGCUCGUCCGUGUGCCUUCCCCGCGGGGGCAGCUCUCUGUUAACAAAGCUGCCUGCUUGUAAGUGGCGAGGCAAACACAAGAGGAGCCCUUCCAGACGUGAGACAAGAAAGAAGGCAAACAGGAAGAUCGUCUGUUAACAAGCUCGCUGAUGGAUGGUUUGGAAGAACAAAGAGAGCAGAUGCCACGCCAGUCAGCCUUACCGACGGCCGCACACCUUCGAUGGCACUCCACAGUGAUGGUGUGUGGCAGUUUAGGGUGGGAUGGCUGCAAGACGUGAGGAUGAAAUGCUCUGCUUCGAAUGAUGUAGAUAGAUGUUUGCUAAGUUUGCUUUUCAGUGUACAUGCUUAUCAGGGGUAAUAGUGGGGGGGAGGAUAGAUUUCACCUCAGUUUCAUGGAGUUGACAUCUACUAAAGUUAACAGGGCAGAGCUGUAAAAUGUUCUUUUAACCUGGCACCCGAGUCUUCUUGGGAAAACAGAGUUGUCACAGACUGCCAACACUACAGGUGACAGCAUCCAUCAGUUUUCCAAAUCUGUCGUCUCUCUUGUUUGCCUCUAGACACCUGGAGGCACUGCCCCUCCCCUGAGAGGAUGGUGUCCUCUUUGCUGGCUUGCAAGCCCUUCCAGGGCCUUGUGGGGUGCCACCCAGAGUGAACAGCACCCCUGAACACUGUCUGCAGAGGCCUUGCUCUAUCUGAGUCAGAUCUCUGCACUCCAUGACACCGAGGGCUGUCCCACCGCCUGCCCCUCUCUCUUCAGGCAGGCGGAGACCCCUGUUCUCUGUACAGAGCCUGGCACGGAACAGCACUCAGAAAAUAUUUGCUGAGUGCUGGGGAAAAAAGAAGAACAAAUCACUAGAAAGGUUGGGGGGAGGAUCACUGAGGGCAAGGGAACGACACAAAUUUACACAC
rnacentral:lncRNA from 1 species